CAUCAUACACUAUUAUAUAAUAUAACGUAAAUGUACUAGCUAGUAAAUACUCUCUCUCUCUCUCGCCAGAAGAAGAACACAGAGAGCAAUAUACUCCCAAAUAGUCUAUUGAUGUACGCGUUCUCGGUUUUGGUUACAUAAUCUGCCGAUCUGAUGUGUUGGCGCCGCAUGCAUUCUCAGAAUUGAAAUCGUAGAACGGCGAUCGAGGUGAAUCGCCGCCGGAGAGUCGGAGAAUUGAAUCGUCGGAGAGAAGAUCGGAUUAAGAAGGAGGAGGUCUGGCCGGGUUAAGGUUGAAGGCGAUACUGAGUAGAAUAGGAGUAUGUAGGAGGCGGCGGUGGCGGCGGAAGAGGCUGCUGAGGAUAAAAGUGAUGGGCCGUUGGUGGCGGAAGCUGGUUUUUCCGGUCAGAAGAGUCUGGUUCGCCGUCUCAGCUCGCGUUAAGGCUCGCAAUCAAGGUGGAGGGCUUUUGAAGCUGCACGACGAUAUACAAACAUGUGGGUACGAGGAUGUUCAGGUGAUGUGGGAGAUGUUGAGGAGAACAGAGUCGUCGGAGUUUAUAUCUGAGCCCAAUAACCGGAAGCCACAGCGACCAUUCUGGAGAAAUUUUUGUAUGGUUCAACCACACUGAUCUCAGGAUUCAUCUUUCUAUCUACAUGCCCAAUUGCCCAUCCAUCACCAAACACCAUGCUGCACAACUCCAAUAUUAAAGCAUCUCUCUCGCUCGAUCUCUAUAUAUUUGUAUUAAUGUAUAUGUAUAUGUCAAUAUGUACAAAGUAUAUAUGUGUAUCUAUCUACUUUUAUAUUCAUGGAAACUUUUGUGAUUAGUGUUUUUGUGCCCUAUAUAUGCAUUAUUAGUUCUCUUCUA